rnacentral:rRNA from 1 species
ACGCUGGCGGCGUGCCUAAUACAUGCAAGUCGAGCGAAUGAUUAGAGAAGCUUGCUUCUCUCUGAUUUAGCGGCGGACAGGUGAGUAACACGUGGGUAACCUACCCUAUAGACUGGGAUAACUUCGGGAAACCGGAGCUAAUACCGGAUAAUACUUUUGAACUCAUGUUCGAUUGUUGAAAGAUGGUUUCGGCUAUCACUAUAGGAUGGACCCGCGGCGCAUUAGCUAGUUGGUGAGGUAACGGCUCACCAAGGCAACGAUGCGUAGCCGACCUGAGAGGGUGAUCGGCCACACUGGGACUGAGACACGGCCCAGACUCCUACGGGAGGCAGCAGUAGGGAAUCUUCCACAAUGGACGAAAGUCUGAUGGAGCAACGCCGCGUGAGUGAAGAAGGAUUUCGGUUCGUAAAACUCUGUUGCAAGGGAAGAACAAGUAGCGUAGUAACUGGCGCUACCUUGACGGUACCUUGUUAGAAAGCCACGGCUAACUACGUGCCAGCCGCUGC